UACGGAGGGGGCUAGCGUUGUUCGGAAUUACUGGGCGUAAAGCGCGCGUAGGCGGACCUGCAAGUCGGGGGUGAAAGCCCGAGGCUCAACCUCGGAACUGCCUUCGAUACUGCGGGUCUCGAGUCCGGGAGAGGUGAGUGGAAUUCCUAGUGUAGCGGUGAAAUGCGCAGAUAUCAGGAGGAACACCGGUGGCGAAGGCGGGUCUCUGGGCCGUAACUGACGCUGAGGAGCGAAAGCAUGGGGAGCGAACAGG
rnacentral:rRNA from 1 species